CAGGAUAUCUCAGACUUCUACAAAGCUGAAAUACGUUGCAAGCUCUACUAUUUUAAGGUUAUUUAAAAAAUUCUCAUCCUUUUUUAAAGGGUGAAGAAUGAUUUCUAAGGUAGCCAAGCAAAGAAAGAAUUCAGCCUUCUUUACUACAUUCAACCUAACCUACCCAAGCCUAGAGAUACAGGUAGCAAGAAACAUCUCCCAGACUCUGACAGCAGAAACAACAUCAAGCAUAAGCAACUAACCCAAAUGGAUGGAUUCCAGCUAGAAAUGCAGCAGCACUCUACAUCCUCAGGAGACAUCAGGAAAAUCCCGAGGAGCUCAGACUAAGUUUGGGAACUCAAUUUUGAAGGAAACCAUAAUGGAUAGCAUACCAGGUAAGAUAAAAGGACCUGGGUUCAAAUCAGACCUCAAACACUUCCAAGCUGUGUAACCCUAGGCAAGUCACUUAACCCCCUAUUACCUAACCCUUGCUGCUCUACUGUCUUAGAUCUGAUGCGGACAGAUUGUAAGGGAGGAAGGAAGGAAGAAAGGAAGGAAACCAGUGAAGUUCAUUUUAAUGCUAUCUCUCUGUAAAAACUAUUAUUUCAUAUCCAAAAGAGAUUACAGAUGAAAGAUACACUUUGUUAAUUCAUAAUCUCACAAAUUAUUGGAAAUCUUAUGUUCAAAAUACAAACUGAUAUAUUUUCAAUGCCAACAAGAUGAGGGGAAAUAUAAUUUGGCAAUAUAUACCCCAAAGCAAUGAUAUCAUACAUAUGAUGUUCUAGAAUCAUUGUACUAUGUCAUUCCCAAUUUAAAAAAUCUCAGGAAAGACUAACAGCAAGAGAAAGGGGGAGGGGGAGAUGGAGAGAGAAAAGAAAAGAGAGGAGAGGAGAAGAGAAAAGAAGAGAAGGGAGAAGAGAAAAGAAAAAAAGAGAAUCAAUGAAAAAUUUUAAAUACUCAGAAGAG